GACCGCUCGGUGGCCAAGUGGUUAGAUGGUCCGCCUCGUUUGCGGAAGGUCGUGGGUUCAAAUCCCGGUCGAGUCA